AAAAGAGUUUAUCCCCUGGGGUUUUGUUGAAAUUCUGUGGUGUUUAUUCAUGUCCUUCCCCUUAGUAAGACCAUUUAUUCCCAUGUUUGGGAGAAGUCAGUGAUGGUGAAGGCGUCUCCUUCCCCAUGUUUCAGUGGCCGUGAAACAUUUUCUUCUUCCCCGGACACUUGACAUUUGCUCACCUGUUCUCACACAUUAACACAUUGGACCCAUGAGCUCGGUCAAGCCUGCCUUGCCUCCUGACAAGGAGGGUUGUUUUCGUUCAAGUGUUCAGGGACUCGUGCCGGCCAGAAAGUCAGCGAUUCUUACCUUAUAAAGGCUCAUCGCAACUUCCAGGAGAACAAAGAGCAGAAUGGCAGCAGGUACUUGGCUGCUCCAAGUGAUCACUUAAUUUUCUCUUGGAGAGACAGCAUGAGUGGGGGAUUUGCUGGCUGGGCUCUGACCCCAGUUGGUCCAUCUAACCUCCUAGGACCUUCCUGAGCUAUCUGUAAACUCUACAGGGAAGACUCCCAAGCUCCAUUUCCGUUCAAACACCACUUGGCUUUCUUCCAGCAGAGAGACGGCAUUGAACUAUGGUCACCAUGCAUCCCUGCUCCCGCAUUUUGCCAGAUGAUGAUGGGAUUGGUCACUGUCAAAAAAAUAAAUAAAGCCCUUCUGGAUUGUGGCAACUUUUUCCUCUAAGAGCCUGAAAAAAUGUCCCCAAAGAUACCAGGUCUCCAUCACUAGAACCUGGGAAUGUGACCCUCUUUGGAGAAAGGGUUUUUGCAGGCUGUCCACAUCUAAGCUCAGCCUUGCCUGAAAAUCCACCCAUUUAGGACUUGGAGGGGAUGAAGGUCCACAGCAGAAUCCAAGGAGGGAAAUCCUUUUCUGAUGCACGCUAAGGGUAGAGGGGCUAGGGUUGCCUGACGUUUCCAGUCUUGCAUCCUGAGGCCCCGGGCAAAUCUUAUCCUCCCAGAUUCCACCCACCAGAGCUCAGAACUGGCAUACUCUGAAGACUGAGAGGUUGAGCAGUCAGGACCUAAAGGACUUGAUUUUUGCCGUGGGGGAUAGCCCGGCCGUCAGAGCUCUGUGCCCAUAGCAGGUGGAAGUGGCCACCGAGACCAAGUGGGUUUGCAUACAGUAAUUCCAUGCGGUGGUUCUGGUGACCUGGAAUGAUCCUUUGCAUGAAAUGUCUCCUGAGACUUCACAAAGUCACUGCAUUGCUCAAAUCCAGAAACUCUAUGGGGUCCCGCCACUGGCAGACGUCACUUCCCUGGGCCCCCCUCCCAGGUACAGUACAGCAGAGGGCUCCCCAUAAUGAAAUGCAACGAUGUCUACUGGCAAUGGCCCAACUAGGCUGGAACCAUCUGGAGAGGAAAUCCACAUGAGUCCUUCUGAAUGGCUUGGGAUCUGCAGAAAAGGAAGUUUGACCAGAGGGUGGCAAGACCCUCCCGGUAUCUUGUCAUGGGGUCAUGGCCAACACCCAAGCCAUCGGAUGACAUCUGCAUUGUGCAUCAACAUGGCUGGGGGCCUGUACCUUAAACAUCCCUCUAACAAAAGCCCCUACCUGUGUCUGGGUUGGAGAUGAAUAAGGACAACCCAAUGUUGAACUUGGUGGCCAACGUCUGGAGCCAGACAUUGCUGUCUUUGUGAAAAGAGCUUCAUUACCACUGGUCCAUGUGGCCUCCUUGACCACGUUGUUCUGGCCAUCUUGGCACCAAGCUUGUCCUCUGAGAGCAAAUGGGCUCCACUGAGAACAGGGGAACCACCAUUGCUGAUGAUGGUGGUCCACAUGUUGAGUGGGAAGGUUCUACAGAUGUAUUGUCUAACAUGAUAGCAACCUGACCCCUAUGGCUAAUGAAAUUUAAGUUUAAAUUAUUUAAAAUAAAAAAAAUUUAAAAGUCACUUCUUUGGUCAAAUGAGCCACAUUUCCAGUGCUCAGUAGCCACCAUAUUGUACCUCAUUGCUUGGAACAUUUUCCCAUAACUGCACAAAAUUCUGUAGCACUGACCAUGCUGGUCCAGACACUGGAUAUUUCUAAGAAACAUCCAAUUACAAAGAUGUUGAAGUAUUUUUAAUUUCUGGAAUUCUUCUGAUUAUAAGAGUCUAAGGCACGUGGAUGAUAUCCACAUAAAAUACAACUGGCAACAUUCUCUUCAUUAUUACCAGGACACAAGUCUAUCUGCCUCAAAACUUGCGGCUCACUAGAUAAUGUAAAAAGUCCUGCUAUGAAAGAAAGCCAAAUUCUGAAGAAUCCCUAAAAUCGCCCUAUUUCUGAAUAGGUAUGCAUAGUCAUAUUAUCCGUGUGUAGUGUAGUUAUGGAAGUCUACGACUCUAUAUGAACACGUAUCUGCAUAUUCUUAUGUUCCAUCACUACCAUGUUACCACCUCUAGUGGAUUGGCCACCACAGUGUGCGCGGGUCUCACCAAAACCUCUAGAAGAACAAAAGACAAGACUUGGGCUUCUCAGAGGAGGAACCACCAAAAACCACCAAGAAGCAAAAAACGUCGACCAGUCGUGUUUGAAGAUGAGACGUGAGAGUUGUGCCCAACACCGUUGAGAUGCACAAGAUUGCCUGAAGUUAGAAGGCUGGCUGUUGGGCACUUGGGGGGCUCAGUGGGUUAAGCGUCUGCCUUUG